GGCCGACUAGCUCAGCUGGUUAGAGCGUCGUGCUAAUAUUUGAAUUCGUAUCAUAUUAACGCGAAGGUCUUGGGUUCGAUCCCCACGUUGGCCA